AAAGUACUCCCACCGUCCCAAAAUUCUCGUCUUAGAUUUGUCUAGAUACGGAUGUAUCAAGUCACAUUUUAGUAUUAGAUACAUCCGUAUCUAGACAAAUCUAAGACAAGAAAUUUGGGAUAGAGGGAGUAGUUG
rnacentral:pre_miRNA from 1 species